AGGGUUGUAGUUAAUUAUAACAUUUAAUUUGCAAUUAAAAAGUACUAGAUUUUUAGUCCUCCUUA
rnacentral:tRNA from 1 species